rnacentral:rRNA from 1 species
GAAUCCCGUCUUUGGCACGGAUGUACCGGGGCUUUUGUGAUGCGCUCUCGAAGAGUCGAGUUGUUUGGGAAUGCAGCUCAAAAUGGGUGGUGAACUCCAUCUAAAGCUAAAUAUUGGCGAGAGACCGAUAGCGAACAAGUACCGUGAGGGAAAGAUGAAAAGCACUUUGGAAAGAGAGUGAAACAGUACGUGAAAUUGUUGAAAGGGAAACGCUUGAAGUCAGUCGCGUCGACCGAGACUCAGCCUCGCCUCGGCUUGGUGUACUUCUCGGCUGACGGGUCAGCAUCAAUUUUGCCCCUUGGAUAAUGGCGAGGGAAAUGUGACACCUUUGCGGUGUGUUAUAGUCUCUCGUCGCAUGCAAGGGUCGGGAUUGAGGAACUCAGCACGCGCCUUUGGGCGUCGGGGCUUUGCCCACGAUACGUGCUUAGGAUGCUGGCGUAAUGGCUUUAAACGACCCGUCUUGAAACACGGACCAAGGAGUCUAACAUGCCUGCGAGUGUUCGGGUGGAAAACCCGUGCGCGCAAUGAAAGUGAAAGUUGGGACCUCUGUCGUGGAGGGCACCGACGCCCGGACCAGACCUUCUGUGACGGUUCUGCGGUAGAGCAUGUAUGUUAGGACCCGAAAGAUGGUGAACUAUGCCUGAAUAGGGUGAAGCCAGAGGAAACUCUGGUGGAGGCUCGUAGCGAUUCUGACGUGCAAAUCGAUCGUCAAAUUUGGGUAUAGGGGCGAAAGACUAAUCGAACCAUCUAGUAGCUGGUUCCUGCC